rnacentral:tRNA from 1 species
GGGCGGUUAGCUCAGCUGGUAGAGCGGCGGCGUCACAAGCCGUAGGUCGUUGGUUCAAGUCCAAUACCGCCCACCA